CACGUAGGGUGCGAGCGUUGUCCGGAAUUAUUGGGCGUAAAGAGCUCGUAGGCGGUGUGUCGCGUCUGCUGUGAAAACUCGGGGCUUAACUCCGGGCCUGCAGUGGGUACGGGCAGACUAGAGUGCGGUAGGGGAGACUGGAAUUCCUGGUGUAGCGGUGAAAUGCGCAGAUAUCAGGAGGAACACCGGUGGCGAAGGCGGGUCUCUGGGCCGUAACUGACGCUGAGGAGCGAAAGCGUGGGGAGCGAACAGG
rnacentral:rRNA from 1 species